GGUUAAGUGACUAAGCGUACACGGUGGAUGCCUAGGCAGUCAGAGGCGAUGAAGGGCGUGCUAAUCUGCGAAAAGCGUCGGUAAGGUGAUAUGAACCGUUAUAACCGGCGAUACCCGAAUGGGGAAACCCAGUGUGUUUCGACACACUAUCAUGUCAUGAAUACAUAGUGGCAUGAGGCGAACCGGGGGAACUGAAACAUCUAAGUACCCCGAGGAAAAGAAAUCAACCGAGAUUCCCCCAGUAGCGGCGAGCGAACGGGGAGGAGCCCAGAACCUGAAUCGGCUUGUGUGUUAGUGGAAGCGUCUGGAAAGUCGCGCAGCAAAGGGUGAUAGCCCCGUACACUAAAAUGCACAGUCGUGAGUUCGAUGAGUAGGGCGGGACACGUGACAUCCUGUCUGAAUAUGGGGGGACCAUCCUCCAAGGCUAAAUACUCCUGACUGACCGAUAGUGAACCAGUACCGUGAGGGAAAGGCGAAAAGAACCCCGGCGAGGGGAGUGAAAUAGAACCUGAAACCGUGUACGUACAAGCAGUGGGAGCACCUUCGUGGUGUGACUGCGUACCUUUUGUAUAAUGGGUCAGCGACUUAUAUUUUGUAGCAAGGUUAACCGUAUAGGGGAGCCGUAGGGAAACCGAGUCUUAACUGGGCGACUAGUUGCAAGGUAUAGACCCGAAACCCGGUGAUCUAGCCAUGGGCAGGUUGAAGGUUGGGUAACACUAACUGGAGGACCGAACCCACUCCCGUUGAAAAGGUAGGGGAUGACUUGUGGAUCGGAGUGAAAGGCUAAUCAAGCUCGGAGAUAGCUGGUUCUCCUCGAAAGCUAUUUAGGUAGCGCCUCAUGUAUCACUCUGGGGGGUAGAGCACUGUUUCGGCUAGGGGGUCAUCCCGACUUAGCAAAACGAUGCAAACUCCGAAUACCCAGAAGUGCCGAGCAUGGGAGACACACGGCGGGUGCUAACGUCCGUCGUGAAGAGGGAAACAACCCAGACCGCCAGCUAAGGUCCCAAAGUCAUGGUUAAGUGGGAAACGAUGUGAGGAUCCCAAAACAACCAGGAUGUUGGCUUAGAAGCAGCCAUCAUUUAAAGAAAGCGUAACAGCUCACUGGUCUAGAUUUAAGGGUUCUUGCGCCGAAAAUGUACCGGGGCUCAAGCCAUACACCGAAGCUGUGGGUUUGCACUUUGUGCAAGCGGUAGCGGAGCGUUCCCUAGGCUGUUGAAGCGGGACCCGUGAGGGCCCGUGGAGGUAUGGGAAGUGCGAAUGCUGACAUGAGUAACGAUAAAGGGUGUGAGAGACACCCUCGCCGAAAGUCCAAGGGUUCCUGCUUAAAGUUAAUCUGAGCAGGGUUAGCCGGCCCCUAAGGCGAGGCCGAAAAGCGUAGUCGAUGGGGAUACGGGUUAAUAUUCCCGUACUUCUAGUUACUGCGAUGGAGGGACGGAGAAGGCUAGGCCAGCUUGGCGUUGUUUGUCCAAGUUUAAGGUGGUAGGCAGAGUGCUUAGGAAAAAUCCGGGCGCUCAAUGCCGAGAGCUGAUGACGAGUUAUCUUUUAGAUGACGAAGUGGUUGAUGCCAUGCUUCCAGGAAAAGCUUCUAAGCUUCAGGUAACUAGGAACCGUACCCCAAACCGACACAGGUGGUUGGGUAGAGAAUACCAAGGCGCUUGAGAGAACUCGGGUGAAGGAACUAGGCAAAAUGGCACCGUAACUUCGGGAGAAGGUGCGCCGGUGAGGGUGAAGGAUUUACUCCGUAAGCCCAUGCCGGUCGAAGAUACCAGGCCGCUGCGACUGUUUAUUAAAAACACAGCACUCUGCAAACACGAAAGUGGACGUAUAGGGUGUGACGCCUGCCCGGUGCCGGAAGGUUAAGAGGAGGGGUGCAAGCUCUGAAUCGAAGCCCCAGUAAACGGCGGCCGUAACUAUAACGGUCCUAAGGUAGCGAAAUUCCUUGUCGGGUAAGUUCCGACCUGCACGAAUGGCGUAACGACUUCCCCGCUGUCUCCAACGCAGACUCAGUGAAAUUGAAUUCCCCGUGAAGAUGCGGGGUUCCUGCGGUCAGACGGAAAGACCCCGUGCACCUUUACUAUAGCUUUACACUGGCAUUCGUGUCGGCAUGUGUAGGAUAGGUGGUAGGCUUUGAAGCGUGGGCGCCAGCUCGCGUGGAGCCAUCCUUGAAAUACCACCCUUAUCGUCAUGGAUGUCUAACCGCGGUCCGUCAUCCGGAUCCGGGACAGUGUAUGGUGGGUAGUUUGACUGGGGCGGUCGCCUCCCAAAGAGUAACGGAGGCGCGCGAUGGUGGGCUCAGACCGGUCGGAAAUCGGUCGUCGAGUGCAAUGGCAUAAGCCCGCCUGACUGCGAGACAGACAAGUCGAGCAGAGACGAAAGUCGGUCAUAGUGAUCCGGUGGUCCCGCGUGGAAGGGCCAUCGCUCAACGGAUAAAAGGUACGCCGGGGAUAACAGGCUGAUGACCCCCAAGAGUCCAUAUCGACGGGGUUGUUUGGCACCUCGAUGUCGGCUCAUCGCAUCCUGGGGCUGGAGCAGGUCCCAAGGGUUUGGCUGUUCGCCAAUUAAAGCGGUACGUGAGCUGGGUUCAGAACGUCGUGAGACAGUUCGGUCCCUAUCUGCCGUGGGUGCAGGAAUAUUGACAGGAUCUGUCCCUAGUACGAGAGGACCGGGAUGGACAUACCUCUGGUGGACCUGUUGUGGCGCCAGCCGCAGUGCAGGGUAGCUAUGUAUGGACGGGAUAACCGCUGAAAGCAUCUAAGCGGGAAACCCACCUGGAAACGAGUAUUCCCUAUNNNNNNNNNNNNNNNNNNNNNNNNNNNNNNNNNNNNNNNNNNNNNNNNNNNNNNNNNNNNNNNNNNNNNNNNNNNNNNNNNNNNNNNNNNNNNNNNNNNNCAGCCAU
rnacentral:rRNA from 1 species